rnacentral:rRNA from 1 species
UUGGAUUUCCCCACCUUUGAUGGCAAUAAUCCCCAGUUUUGGAAAACCCGAUGUGAGAAAUACUUCAGUGUGUAUGGUAUAGCCUCCGAGUUGUGGGUGCGCGUGGCUACUCUCCAUUUCACGAGGAACGCAACGCGAUGGCUGCAGCUACAUGAGGCGCAGAGUGAGUCGAUGUCAUGGGAAGGGCUGUGUGCAGCUCUGUGCGGCAAAUUUGGCCGUGAGCAGUAUCAGGCACACCUGCGUCAGUUCAGAACUCUUCGUCAGACAGGCACUGUACAAGCAUACAUGUCUCAGUUUGAGGAAAUCAUGCACCACCUCUUAGCCCAUAAUCCAGCUUUUGAU